CUGUUAGCCUGUUGUGUGUGCUGUAGCUCCCUUGGUUUGUGAGCAGAUAAGUUCUCUUUCACCGUCGAGACGGACUACCCGACUAGUGAAUGUAGGUAAAGCAGGUUUCUGAGCAGCGAUGUGACUGCAAGCCAAGCAGAGAAAAAACAACAGAGUGUAGAGAACGCACAGUUCACACCAAACUCUGACAGAAUGUUAUGGGUUUAUUUGGAAACACAGAGAAAUCACCAUCCUUUAUACAUCUUGAUCCUCUGCUGCUGCUCGAGCUUCGUGAUGACGUCAUAUUCAACCCCUCCUCUGUGUACACCUGAGUUAAUGAGCGGAUGAUGCCAGUGGUCAAAGUAGUGGUACCAUCGUCCAUUCGAACUGGCCCCGAAUCCAAAUACAUUCACCUGCGAUAGAGAGAGAGAGAGCUGAAGAGUGAAGACUGCAAACAUGUUUGAUUUAAAUGCUAACUAGUGCAUGCUUGUUUUCCUGGUUGGAAUAUACCGGUCUUAGACGUAGAGAGAUUCUUUUCCAACAUAAGUUUGGGUUAUGAUUUAUUGUUUUUACCCACUGAUUAUUAUUCUUUUUUUCUUGGUAAACAGAUUAAUUUGUUAGAUGGCAUAAGAAGUGGCUCAUUUCUACAGAAUCUGAUUGUUUGGAAUUCUGGGACUGGAAUCACGUCCAACCAGUGUUCCCGAAAUGUUCCCUGAGCAGGAUAAAACCGACACUGAAGAGGUAAACAGUCUAAAGGCCGAGCUAGCUAAAGGAUGGGGAUAAUACGCUAAAAUAUUCAAACUUUUUUACACUUUCAGAUGUUCUCCUUGUAGAAGAACUCUUAAAGAUUUCACCUGGAACUCUACUGUAAUGAGUUUUCCCAUCAAAAAGCUUAGAAUUAAGAACACAAUUAGUCUUUAACCUCUUAAAGAAGUUUUAUCUAAGACCAUUACUUAAGAUUUGAACUCUUAUGUUCAUAAUUCUAUGUAGAACUUCUAUCUUUCCAUGUCAGUUGAUUGAAUUUCUUGGUGUUCAGACUGAGAAUGUUCAUGGAUUUGCUGCAGAAUGUAUUACGCAACCCAAGCAACGGCAGAACUCCACCAUAAGGAGGUCAUUUUACUUUGAAUAAUAAUGAUCAGUGUUUUCACCUCGUCACAGAUGUGCAGGGCCAGCAUGAGCAUGAUGAAGCCAGUGGAUGGAUAUUUCCCUUCUUUCAUCAGCCACUUUUCGUAGACGUAUCUCAUGAACUCAGGAUUAACGAUCAUCACCUUUAAAAACAACACGGGAGAGCCCUUUAAUCUGGAUCGAUCCGAUAGAAAGGAAAAUAUAUUUCUAUAGCAUCAGCUCAUGGUUCUAUAUUGUAAGAAGGAUGCUUGGCGUAAUUGGAUUAUAAAAUAUUUGUGUAAUUAUUGAUAUAGUGAAAAUUUCUGUCUUGGUGGAGAAGCUAGCAGGUGACCCUCCGAAUAUCAGAGUAAAGUGAUGUUCCUCAAACCUUCAUGAGGAGAGAGAUCAUUAAACCCACCUUGUUUCUGUUCGCUUUUACUGUAGGUUUCACCGUACGAUAUGUUCUGAAAACAGAAAUGAAAAUAAAACAUAAGACUAACUUAUUUAGACAUUUUGGUUUAUAAGAAAACAUUAUUCCUGUCCAUCUAGCUUCAGAUGGUCCACGUGUAGCUCUCACCGUGUAAUGUUCUGCUUGGUGAAAGCACUAAUGAGCCACUGCAGAUCCAGCACUUUAAAAGGCAUCAGCACUAGAUGGGUGGAGUUAUCCAGGUCUACAGCGCUCUCUGGAUACAUCGCUCUGUGCGUGGUCUUUACUCCAACAUCCCUCUCGUAGCCUUUAGUUGGGCCGUGGUUCAUCCUG